rnacentral:rRNA from 1 species
GAUGAACGCUGGCGGCGUGCCUAAUACAUGCAAGUAGAACGCUGACGUAAGGAGCUUUCUCUUUCCGGAUGAGUUGCGAACGGGUGAGUCACGCGUAGGUAACCUGCCUGGUAGCGGGGGAUAACUAUUGGAAACGAUAGCUAAUACCGCAUAACAGUAGGUGUUGCAUGAUAUCUACUUAAAAGGUGCAAUUGCACCACUACCAGAUCGACCUGCGUUGUAUUAGCUAGUUGGUGAGGUAACGGCUCACCAAGGCGACGUUACAUAGCCGACCGGAGAGGGGAGACGGCCAACCUGGGAAGGGGGAAUGGCCCAGACGCCUGAGGGAGGCAGAAGGAGGGAAUCUGUGGGAAUGGACGGAAGGCGGAACGAGGAACGCCGCGUGAGUGAAGGAGGGUGUAGGAUCGCAAAGCUCUGUUGUGAGUGAAGAUCGAGUGGGAGAGUGGAAAGGGCACACUGUGACGGUAGCUGAAGAGAAAGCGACGGCUAACUACGUG